rnacentral:rRNA from 1 species
UACGAAGGGGGCUAGCGUUGCUCGGAAUCACUGGGCGUAAAGCGCACGUAGGCGGCUUUUUAAGUCAGGGGUGAAAUCCCGGAGCUCAACUCCGGAACUGCCUCUGAUACUGAGAAGCUUGAGUUCGGGAGAGGUGAGUGGAACUGCGAGUGUAGAGGUGAAAUUCGUAGAUAUUCGCAAGAACACCAGUGGCGAAGGCGGCUCGCUGGCCCGAGACUGACGCUGAGGUGCGAAAGCGUGGGGAGCAAACAGG